rnacentral:lncRNA from 8 species
CACAAACAGGGGGAUACCCUGGUCUGGAAAUGUCAAACCCAUGGUCUGUUAUUUUUUAACAAGCGGGUGACCUCAGAUUGAGAAUCCAACAUGUGUGUUGUGUAAAGCUUUUUUUAGGGGAGGCCCCAUAACUCUGCCAUGUCUGACACCGAGGAGGGACUGGUCAGGCUCAUAGCUCUGCCGUGUCUGGCACCGAGGAGGGACUGGUCAGGCUCAUAGCUCUGCCGUGUCUGGCACCGAGGAGGGGCUGGUCCGGCUCAUAGCUCUGCCGUGUCUGGCACCGAGGAGGGACUGGUCAGGCUCAUAGCUCUGCCGUGUCUGGCACCGAGGAGGGACUGGUCAGGCUCAUAGCUCUGCCGUGUCUGGCACCGAGGAGGGACUGGUCAGGGUCUGGCUAAGACACUGUAGGGUCAGCAGCAUACCUCACACACCCAGUCUGCUUCUUGUCGCGUUACGUAACGUCCCCCUAUCACUCGAUUGGCCCGCGGGGCGUCAGCGUGAAGUUAUGGGAAAACAAAAGGGUGAGGACACAGGUUGAGCCAAUUAAACGAUGCAAAAGGUAGGUCAUUUC